rnacentral:misc_RNA from 1 species
GAUGAAGAACGUAGCGAAAUGCGAUACUUGGUGUGAAUUGCAGAAUCCCGUGAACCAUCGAGUCUUUGAACGCAAGUUGCGCCCGAAGCCAUUAGGCCGAGGGCACGCCUGCCUGGGCGUCACACGUCGUUGCCCCCCCAUCUACUCCUUCGGGAUUGCGGGGGGCGGAUGAUGGCCUCCCGUGCGCCUCGUCGUGCGGUUGGCAUAAAUGCCAAGUCCUCGGCGACGCACGCCACGACAAUCGGUGGUUGCGAAACCUCGGUUGCCCGUCGUGUGCGGUCGUCGCGCAUCGAGGGCUCGAAAAAAUUGCCGGGCUCCGGCUCGACUUUCAACGCGACCCCAGGUCAGGCGGGGUUACCCGCUGAAUUUAAGCAUAUCAAUAAGCGGAGGA